UUCUUUCUUUCUUCUUUGCUCAAAGAAACCAGAGAAAAAAAUCAGUAAAUCGAGUGAAAGAGAUUGAGAGAAACCAGAAAUCAAACCAAAAUCAGAAAUUAAACCAAAAGUCUCGAACUGAUUUGUGAUUUUUUAAACCUAAAAAGUGGUAUGAAAACCCCUAUUUUACGAAUCAGAUUCUUAGAUUUUGUAAACCAGAUCGAUUUUUACUUUUAGCUUGAAACUCUCUGAAGAAGAUUCGAUUUGUUGAAGUAAAAACCCUAACCUCAUGAGAAGAUUGAAGUAAAAUUUUUGGAAGAUUCAACUGCAAAUCCUCGGUGGCGGAACCAGGAUUUCGAAUAAGGGGGCUAAAUUUUUUUUUCCAAAGUGGACUCUCAUAUGGUACUGAACCUGUAUGGUGUUGCUAGCGAAAACGAAAUUGUUCGCCAAGUAAUAAUAAAUAAUGCUUUGUGUCUGAGAUUCUAUCACUUAGCAUGUCAUGCAAGUAAACCUAGUAGACAUCGUAGUGAAUUCUUACGGGGAAAAUGCUACUCAACUGUAUGGAGUUUUCUUUAGGUUUUCUAGUUGUGCAAAUCCUUAAGGUAUGACCAGGUGCUUAGAGUUAUAGAAUUCAUGUACCAACGACUUGAGAUUCCAAUGUUUUCUUACACUAAAUUAAAUCGUGAUAGUUACUUAGCUUUGUAUUUUAUUUAUUUUUAGCUUCAACUGCUUAGUGAUCAUGAAGGAGAGGUACUCAGAGUGGUAGAUUUCAGGUACAAUGUGUCAGGAGGUGAACCCGAGAUUCAGAGUACCAUAUUACAACUGUUGAACCAGUUUGAUGGUUUUGAUUCAUGAGGAUAUGUCAAAAGUCAUUCCUGCAACAAAAAAAAAUUGAUCCUGCUUUGCUAAAGCCUGGACAAAUAGAUUGGGACAUUGAGUUCCCUCUUCCUGUCACCAAAACAAGGAGACACAUUUAUUAAAACAUAGAUCCACGCUUCAUGCAUGACAUUGGCCUAUGAUGUGAACCUAGCUAGAAUAGUUUGUGAAGAUUAAGGAUGAAUUCUCUGGAGCUGAUAUCAAGGUUAUUUUACUGAGCCCGGUUUGCUUUCUUUAGAGGAACACCAUAUGAAGGUAAACAUUUAGCUGAAUAGAUUGUUAUGUUGGAUCAUGCGCUGAUUGUAUUUUAUCUGAACAUGAAGAUCGACCCACUGGCAUACACACCUAAAUGCUCUGAUCUCCAACCGCUGUUUGCACAUCUGUGUUAUAACUGUUGUUAAAUUUUGCAGAAUGGAAAGUUAGAUUUCCAACUACUUUGCCUUUAUUUAUUCAGUUCUGAUGCCAAUGGGUUAUGAAGGGUACCCAUAAGUAAGCCCUUCACUAGUUGGCAGUGUCAGCGGCGUUCUAAGUUCCUUAUACUAUUUUCUUUCAAUACAUGAGCUCCUACUAAAGGCCAAUAACUUAAGACUUCAGACGUAUGGUUAGGGAUUUCGUCAUUUUCUGAUCUUGGUUCAUCACUGACUAGUAAGUAUUUUGUUGUUAUUGCAGGAAAUUUCUUUGUUCUUACUUAUAUCAUAUUACACUUUCUAGAAUAAUGAACAAGUCAUUGCUGUUUGUGCCAUACUUUUGUAACUUGGAUGGUACCAAGUAUGAAAGACUUUUUUUCAUCCCCUUGAUACACGAUAUUUUGGCUAUACUUAAUUCAGAGGAGAGCAUAAAAUUCUAUUGUUUCUCCUUUGUAGUGAUA